GGGUUGUGAGGUUAAGCGACUAAGCGUACACGGUGGAUGCCCUGGCAGUCAGAGGCGAUGAAGGACGUGCUAAUCUGCGAUAAGCGUCGGUAAGGUGAUAUGAACCGUUAUAACCGGCGAUUUCCGAAUGGGGAAACCCAGUGUGAUUCGUCACACUAUCAUUAACUGAAUCCAUAGGUUAAUGAGGCGAACCGGGGGAACUGAAACAUCUAAGUACCCCGAGGAAAAGAAAUCAACCGAGAUUCCCCCAGUAGCGGCGAGCGAACGGGGAGCAGCCCAGAGCCUGAAUCAGUGUGUGUGUUAGUGGAAGCGUCUGGAAAGGCGCGCGAUACAGGGUGACAGCCCCGUACACAAAAAUGCACAUGCUGUGAGCUCGAUGAGUAGGGCGGGACACGUGGUAUCCUGUCUGAAUAUGGGGGGACCAUCCUCCAAGGCUAAAUACUCCUGACUGACCGAUAGUGAACCAGUACCGUGAGGGAAAGGCGAAAAGAACCCCGGCGAGGGGAGUGAAAAAGAACCUGAAACCGUGUACGUACAAGCAGUGGGAGCACAGAGCAAUCUGUGUGACUGCGUACCUUUUGUAUAAUGGGUCAGCGACUUAUAUUCUGUAGCAAGGUUAACCGAAUAGGGGAGCCGAAGGGAAACCGAGUCUUAACUGGGCGUUAAGUUGCAGGGUAUAGACCCGAAACCCGGUGAUCUAGCCAUGGGCAGGUUGAAGGUUGGGUAACACUAACUGGAGGACCGAACCGACUAAUGUUGAAAAAUUAGCGGAUGACUUGUGGCUGGGGGUGAAAGGCCAAUCAAACCGGGAGAUAGCUGGUUCUCCCCGAAAGCUAUUUAGGUAGCGCCUCGUGAAUUCAUCUCCGGGGGUAGAGCACUGUUUCGGCAAGGGGGUCAUCCCGACUUACCAACCCGAUGCAAACUGCGAAUACCGGAGAAUGUUAUCACGGGAGACACACGGCGGGUGCUAACGUCCGUCGUGAAGAGGGAAACAACCCAGACCGCCAGCUAAGGUCCCAAAGUCAUGGUUAAGUGGGAAACGAUGUGGGAAGGCCCAGACAGCCAGGAUGUUGGCUUAGAAGCAGCCAUCAUUUAAAGAAAGCGUAAUAGCUCACUGGUCGAGUCGGCCUGCGCGGAAGAUGUAACGGGGCUAAACCAUGCACCGAAGCUGCGGCAGCGACGCUUAUGCGUUGUUGGGUAGGGGAGCGUUCUGUAAGCCUGCGAAGGUGUGCUGUGAGGCAUGCUGGAGGUAUCAGAAGUGCGAAUGCUGACAUAAGUAACGAUAAAGCGGGUGAAAAGCCCGCUCGCCGGAAGACCAAGGGUUCCUGUCCAACGUUAAUCGGGGCAGGGUGAGUCGACCCCUAAGGCGAGGCCGAAAGGCGUAGUCGAUGGGAAACAGGUUAAUAUUCCUGUACUUGGUGUUACUGCGAAGGGGGGACGGAGAAGGCUAUGUUGGCCGGGCGACGGUUGUCCCGGUUUAAGCGUGUAGGCUGGUUUUCCAGGCAAAUCCGGAAAAUCAAGGCUGAGGCGUGAUGACGAGGCACUACGGUGCUGAAGCAACAAAUGCCCUGCUUCCAGGAAAAGCCUCUAAGCAUCAGGUAACAUCAAAUCGUACCCCAAACCGACACAGGUGGUCAGGUAGAGAAUACCAAGGCGCUUGAGAGAACUCGGGUGAAGGAACUAGGCAAAAUGGUGCCGUAACUUCGGGAGAAGGCACGCUGAUAUGUAGGUGAAGCGACUUGCUCGUGGAGCUGAAAUCAGUCGAAGAUACCAGCUGGCUGCAACUGUUUAUUAAAAACACAGCACUGUGCAAACACGAAAGUGGACGUAUACGGUGUGACGCCUGCCCGGUGCCGGAAGGUUAAUUGAUGGGGUCAGCGCAAGCGAAGCUCUUGAUCGAAGCCCCGGUAAACGGCGGCCGUAACUAUAACGGUCCUAAGGUAGCGAAAUUCCUUGUCGGGUAAGUUCCGACCUGCACGAAUGGCGUAAUGAUGGCCAGGCUGUCUCCACCCGAGACUCAGUGAAAUUGAACUCGCUGUGAAGAUGCAGUGUACCCGCGGCAAGACGGAAAGACCCCGUGAACCUUUACUAUAGCUUGACACUGAACAUUGAGCCUUGAUGUGUAGGAUAGGUGGGAGGCUUUGAAGUGUGGACGCCAGUCUGCAUGGAGCCGACCUUGAAAUACCACCCUUUAAUGUUUGAUGUUCUAACGUGGACCCGUAAUCCGGGUUGCGGACAGUGUCUGGUGGGUAGUUUGACUGGGGCGGUCUCCUCCUAAAGAGUAACGGAGGAGCACGAAGGUUGGCUAAUCCUGGUCGGACAUCAGGAGGUUAGUGCAAUGGCAUAAGCCAGCUUGACUGCGAGCGUGACGGCGCGAGCAGGUGCGAAAGCAGGUCAUAGUGAUCCGGUGGUUCUGAAUGGAAGGGCCAUCGCUCAACGGAUAAAAGGUACUCCGGGGAUAACAGGCUGAUACCGCCCAAGAGUUCAUAUCGACGGCGGUGUUUGGCACCUCGAUGUCGGCUCAUCACAUCCUGGGGCUGAAGUAGGUCCCAAGGGUAUGGCUGUUCGCCAUUUAAAGUGGUACGCGAGCUGGGUUUAGAACGUCGUGAGACAGUUCGGUCCCUAUCUGCCGUGGGCGCUGGAGAACUGAGGGGGGCUGCUCCUAGUACGAGAGGACCGGAGUGGACGCAUCACUGGUGUUCGGGUUGUCAUGCCAAUGGCACUGCCCGGUAGCUAAAUGCGGAAGAGAUAAGUGCUGAAAGCAUCUAAGCACGAAACUUGCCCCGAGAUGAGUUCUCCCUGACUCCUUGAGAGUCCUGAAGGAACGUUGAAGACGACGACGUUGAUAGGCCGGGUGUGUAAGCGCAGCGAUGCGUUGAGCUAACCGGUACUAAUGAACCGUGAGGCUUAACCUUACAACGCCGAAGGUGUUU
rnacentral:rRNA from 1 species